UACGGAGGGAGCUAGCGUUGUUCGGAAUUACUGGGCGUAAAGCGCGCGUAGGCGGCUUUGUAAGUCAGAGGUGAAAGCCCGGAGCUCAACUCCGGAACUGCCUUUAAAACUGCAUCGCUUGAAUCCAGGAGAGGUGAGUGGAAUUCCGAGUGUAGAGGUGAAAUUCGUAGAUAUUCGGAAGAACACCAGUGGCGAAGGCGGCUCACUGGACUGGUAUUGACGCUGAGGUGCGAAAGCGUGGGGAGCAAACAGG
rnacentral:rRNA from 1 species